UGGCAACCGGCCGAGCUCCACUCUGCUAUUAAAUCCUGGUGCCCUUCCCUGGAAACGAAACCUACGUUUCUUCAUCCACACGCAUAAACUACGUUUGGCGAUGUUGUCAUAGAGAUUAACAAGAGCUACGGUUUGGUAAAACGACUUCGUAAGCAAAGAUAAAGAGCUGUUCCCUUCACUUGGGGAAGAUUCGCGAUGAAAGUGGCCAUUCAUGGGCCUGGAGCAGACAUCAGCCAUCUCCUUCUCAGUGUGGCUGCGAGUCCCCCUCAAGGAGGAAUGCAUUUGGAGAAAGAAAGCUGUCCACAUUCAACAACGUCAAGACCACAUACCUGAAAUGCUCUCUGUGUCUGCCUCAUAGUUGCAAGAUGGCUGCCACAGCACCAGUCACCACAUUCCUGUUCAAGGCAGGAAGAAAGAGAAGAAGAUAGAACCAUUCAACUGCUUCUGAUCCUCUUCUUCUUUCCUUAAGGAAUCGAAUGGCUCCCUGAUCCCUGCCUACCCCACAGACUUUUGGUUAUAUGUCAUAAAAGACUUCUGAGU
ensembl:lncRNA